CAGCACCGGCGAAGCGCCCGUGAGGGUGGUGACGGUAGGUGCAGAAGAAGGACCGGCCAACUACGUGCCAGCAGCCGCGGUAAUACGUAGGGUCCGAGCGUUGUCCGGAAUUAGUUGGGCGUAAAGGGCUCGUAGGCGGUUUGUCGCGUCGGGAGUGAAAACACCGGGCUUAACUCGGUGCUUGCUUUCGAUACGGGCAGACUGGAGGCAUGCAGGGGAGAACGGAAUUCCUGGUGUAGCGGUGAAAUGCGCAGAUAUCAGGAGGAACACCGGUGGCGAAGGCGGUUCUCUGGGCAUGUCCUGACGCUGAGGAGCGAAAGUGUGGGGAGCGAACAGGAUUAGAUACCCUGGUAGUCCACACCGUAAACGUUUGGGCGCUAGGUGUGGGAUCCAUUCCACGGGUUCCGUGCCGCAGCUAACGCAUUAAGCGCCCCGCCUGGGGAGUACGGCCGCAAGGCUAA
rnacentral:rRNA from 1 species